UGCAAAAAUAUUACCAAAAGCAUGUAAUGAUUUUAAUGGAAUACUGAAACACUGUGGUAAUAUAAGUCUUUGUUAGAUGCAGAACUGGUUUUACUACAUGUAUCUAAAGGGAAGGCAAGCAGGCAACAAUAGCAUAUUUGGUUUGAAUUUAAGAUUCUUCAUUCAUUGUGGAGUCAUAUAAGCCAGAAAAAUAAUAUAAUUUGAUUUUAAAAGUCGGAGUCACAGCCCUGAAUUUGCACUGAUGCAGUUAUGAAGAGCUGGUCCAUUAUUACAUUUCUUCAGACUAUACACACUUUAGUAAUUUAGUAAUUAAAAUUACAUAGUAAUUAAAAUCACUACCCCAUAACAAUAUUUUUAUAACUACAGAUCCUGGAUUCCAUACGUGGAGGUUGACACCUCUAAAAGAUUUCCACAACUCCCAUCACUUUGUUGCUUAACACAAUUUCAGUCUGACUAAAAGCAGCGGAUGGCAGUGCCUCUGCUGAAGCCCGGCCUUGCAGCCACACAGAGAAACACAGAGGUGAAACGGCUGCUGUAAACCCAUUUGUCCAAAAUGGAAGGUGGCAUCCAUGCUGAGGAAGGAGAAAAUACAUUGAGGAAUAGCUGCCAUCUGCCUCAUGGCAAGGUUUGAACUGCUGCCGUCAGGAAAGCUGGCAGUGCUGCAAACAAGAAUGGCUUAUUUAUCCAGGAAGGAUGGGGUGAUGUGGAAGUGUACAUCCAGCAAACCACAGGGAAGACACACAUGUGCAGACACACACAAAGUUAGGGUAGCCACCACAAAGCACAAACCUUUGGAGCUCGAGACCUACAGCAGUUCUGUGCUUUCUCCCCAGGCAGCCUCAAAACUUUUCUGAGCACAACCGUAAUCUCAGUGACAUCCUAACAGGAGGAGGAAGAAGCGCCUCCAAGCCACAUGGCAACCUGCACCUUCAUCUGGCUUUGGCAGAAUCCCAGCAGUAUCAUCUGAAUGGUUCCAUAAUUACAACCACAACACAUUUUUCAGCCCCUACAGGUGCUGUCUCUUUUUCAUUAAUUAUAUGGGAGGGGAAGAGAUGACUGCAAAUACUGAAUUCUUUAGAGUUGUGGUUGUCAAGCAGCAUCUAUAUCUUUACAGAAAAUGUAGUUCUGCUUUUCAAAAGCAGCUAAAAUUUUGGUGGGGAUCCAGUACUGAAGUGCUCACAUUUGCCAUUUCAACUCAUUCCUUGAAACACAUUGCACAUAGGUGCUCUUUGUCAGAAAAGUUUUCAAACUGAUGCAGACAUUCCUUAUAAAUAUAGAUGGCUUCAUUGCAGAGAAAGAACAUUAAGAAUGCUUUUAUAAUGUCUAUUUAGGCUGCUUGCUUUUCUGCACUGGUCACAAAAGAAACAACAUCAUUUUGGAAGCCAUAAUGACAACAUACUGCAAAAUAGGGAAAAUUGUAACAUAGGAGGUAAGAAGUUUGUAAGAACCAGAGGCAAAGCUUCUUCUUGCAGGAAUGUGAAAGGUGGGUUUUGUUGAAUGACUCCUUUAAAUGCAGGUGAAAUGGCUGUCAGCUCCCAGGUCACACGCUCAACACAAACGUAAUUUUAUGUUAUAAAGUUAUAAUACCGGCCUCUUUUGGAGCCAGACUUAAUCGGCAAAAUGCAGCAUGAGGCUUAUCACACAACCUGACAGAUACUUGAAGCAUUGCUGUCUUGCAUUUUCAGAAUGGUCUCCUGGAGGCUUUUCUACAUAAAUAGAACCAACCUGACCAAAAAUGUAUUUUAAAAAUAAGUUUGAAGCCUGCCUUUUCAUGAAGUUGUUUUUUUUAAUAAACGAUACUAAAACCUGUGUGAAAAGGUAGAAAGUAUUGAAAGUUUGAAAGUAUUUUAGGUUGUACUUCCCUUUGGUAAGGCUACCUCAAUUUUUUUACCAUUCAGGAUGAAGUCUAAGCACUCAUAGGUAUAUAGAAAGUUCUGACUGUCUUUACAGUUAUUAGAGGGUUGUCUGUGUCUAUAGUUAUUUUUACACAAUUUGCUAUUUCAAAAGAAGUUGCCUGUAAAUCCAAUUAGGUGGGGCAAACAGAAUUUUGUUGGUCUGUGGUGACUCAUUUAUGAGAGAAACAGCUCAAAUUAGAUUGUGUGAAAGACAUUGUUUUUUGGUAUGGACACUGGUUAUAUUUAAAUGAUGUUUGACAAGGACUUCUGUAAUCACUUGGAAUCUCACCCUGUUGCCAGAUUCAGCACAAUGCAUCCUAUGAAUCCUUGUUGACAGUUCUUUCCAGGCUACCUACAGAUCUCAUUUAUUCUGUGGCCUUGAUAUUGCUUAGGAUGCCUAGGAUUACUUAGAAUGAGGAUGCAUUCUUGGUUGUGUUUUAUGCCUGAUGGUUUUCCUUGGUUUUAGUCUGUAAUUUUGGCAGCCCAGCAGCUGCUUCAUCAACUAGCCUCAUAAUGGAGGCAGAAACAUCUGAACUAGGGGCACACAUCCAGCUGUGAACAGCAUCUUCUGUAGCCACACCAGUGUAACCUGCUGGAACCAGAGCACUAAGAGAAACAAGAUAAAUGGCUAUUGUACUUUAAAUUCACACCUGGGUUGCUUGUUCUGUGACAGCUUCUUCAUGCAGAUGACAGGAAUGGACCCUGGCCAGUUUUCAUUUGCUGAAGGAACGUUUUGCUCCUGGGGACUUGAAUGGGUCUGCCUCCAUUAGCAGUUAAGAGCACAACAUAAAUGUUUCUGUGAUGUGAAUUGCUCUUGCCUGUGAAUCUUUUACAUUUGAUGUUCUUUAAGUUACAUCACUAAAAGCCUUUGGAAGACAGGACCUAGAUUUCGUCCUGUAGAAGCUUAGCUGGAAAUUGCACACUAGGGGUUUUUCUAACACACCCCAAAGGUAAUGGGAACAUGUAAUCUUUGGGCUGUUGAGAAAGAAUACAGAGGCUGAUCUGUUAUUUGAAUUGUACUCCAAUAUCAAUUCUUCCUUUAUCCUGAGUAAGAGCAAUACCAACACAAAGGUGAACUUGUAAAGCUCUUCAUGGCUGAGACUUCUGUAGAAGUGCUAGGAUGUCCUUUUUUUAUCUGAGCAACAUGAUGAGACUUUUAAAACUGUAAAGAGAGGGACUUUCCAAAAUGCCUGUGUUGUUGGUAUGGUGUAAGAGCCUUCCAAAAGAGUUAGCUAAUCCUCAGUGAGUCACGUUUUUAACGGAAUUCUGUUUUAAAUAAAUUAUCUUCUACACUUUCUCCACUCUGGGGUAUAUGCUGAGUGACUAUAAUACUUGAUGUUCUGGUAUUUCAAGUUACCAGGUCAUCUGUGAAUGUUUCUGAGACUCCUCUUCCUAUAGAACCUAGCACCUAAAUGAAGGUAACAAGCAAAUGGCUAUAGUCUGAAGUCUUCUUUUGCUGAUGGAGAUUGCUGAAUUCACAUGUGCUUGCUGGGUAUCAGAGAUUACUGUUGCAAAAAAAAUCAGAUCAUUAAUUGUAUCUGGUUCGGACUUUGAAGGAUUUCUUAACAAACAGCAAGACUAUAUUUUAAAUGAUAUAUUCUCAAAGAAAAUAAGAUGUUGAUGCAAAUGCAUCCUCUCACAAGCCACAGGUAAAUUGGCCUGUAGCAUCUCAAGCUAGUGCUCAUCAGAAUAUCACUUUCAAGAAAGGACAUUUCUCUAAGAGUAACUGGAGGGAAAUUGAGUCCAGUUCCAUUACCUUUUGUAACUGAAGAGAACUGAAUCAUCUGUUUCUUGUCAAACCACCCACUUUGUGUAGUCACUUGUGAACAGUUUGUAUGCUAAGAGAAAAAAUGGCACUUUGCAUUAUAUAGGGUGUUAAAUCUACUAUGUCAGAGGUUUGUUUAAGUCCUCUUGCCACCUGGUUUCAAUGUGGAGAUGAAAAAGGACUUAUCUUCCAGCCAUUUUGGCACAGGAUAGCCUCUGCUAGAGUGCCACAGAGAUCCUGUAAUUCACAGGAUACCUUCCAAAAUUAAUCAAGGGACCUAACCUGCACUGCAAGUUUUGAGCCAUCCAUCUUUGAAUAGUUGAGAAAGAAGUUACUGCCUGCCGACAAAACCUUAGGGCAGAGCGAGGUAAUAAAGAACUGGUCUUUAAGUCAGGUUUUGAUCUUGAUACUGUGUGGUUCCUGGCUCACAAUUCAGUAUUUUAAUUGCAAAAUAAUACUUUGUGAUUGAUGAGUGCAUAUGUGGCAACUUUAACCAAGUAUUGAUUAUUUUGAAAAAAUGCACAUGAUUUGUUGUACGUGAUGGGGGGGCGACCCUAAUGAAUCACAGAAGAAAAACAUAAAUUGAAACUUAGGUUGGAUGUUUGUCUUUCUAGAUUCCACAAGAUUGAUUUUAAGUCUAGAAGCUCAGUGAAGAUAAUGAAGAUAUGAGACUGUACUUUCACAAAGGUUGUUUGACUUAUACUAGUGAACCUGAACUGUAGUAUUUGCAGAUUUCCUGUAAGUAAAAAGUGUAAAUUUUUACCAAGUAAAAGAACCAAGUACCAGUAAAUGGGAAGUGACUGAGUAAAUACAGCAUUUAGAGACUGAAAACAGAACAGAUGAAUAAAAUAUUUUUUUCUAAAGCUCUCAAUGUGUUUAAAACAACAAGUGAUAAUAUAAGGGUAGUCUGUGAUCAGAAAAAUAAUUUUAAAGUGAUAUUUACUAUGGUCUAAAAAUUGAAGUAAUAGAAACCAAGAGGAGGAAAGGGCACAUACCAGGAACACAUUUUAAUCCAAUCAGCCAGUUAGGUAAUCAAUUAAACAACACAACAAGAGCAAACAGAUCAAUGGUUCUGUCUUCAAAUGAAAACAAAUGUGCUUACUUACCAACAUUUGCAUCUUUAAGAUAAGCAUAACCUCCUUUCAUGCCAGCUAAAAUUGUUGAUGUUGCCUCUUUUUUCCCUAAAUAAUUACUUUUACAUUCACUUGUGUUGCCCUUACGUGACCUUGAGCAGAAAGACUUGCUGUCAGAAAGGAGUCACCUGUUGAUACCAUGCAGCUUUUGUGAGCACAUCCCACAGUAGGAGAUACGUUCACAGAACUCAUUCUCCUUCACCCUGAAGUCACAGAUUAAAUCUACCAUAAUUGGAAUUAAAUAGAAUUAAUUUAUCAUGAUUGCUUUUCCAUAGCUUCUUAUCUGUCAGGGACAGUUCCUAAUGGAUGAGUGCCUUUGUGGCAGCUAGACUACUAAUGGCAUGUUCAGGUUGUUUUAUGAGUGGUGGAAGGAGCCACCACAUUCAAUAGGACUAGUCCACUACAGUCACAGGAGAUCCUGUGGUAUGGGUGUACUUCACAAGCAUCCACAAAUCAUUCCACUUUGCGUGCAACUGUGAGCUUGCUGCACUUAAAACUGAACUGAACUAGACUUGAAGUAGGAGGUCAGAAAGCAUAAUGCAGGAGAAGACUUCUUAGGAAGGACUGUUUCAGUGUGGAAUAAAAGUACCUCUUGUAGUAUUAAAGGACUUUUUUCUUUAAAAUAAAGGAGGAAGACCUCAGGAAAGAGGGAAAUGCAGUGCUACUUCCUGAUCCAUUUCCAGAAUGAGGCCAAGAAAGCUCUAUUCCCAGAGUUUGAACUGAAACUUCUAGCAACCCUACAUUUAAUAUUAACAGUAACUUUGCUGCUUGUACUGGUAAAUUCAACAGGAAGACUUCCAGUCAUAAAGCCUUUGCUAUGUGGAUAUGGUUCUUUUUAGCCUUGAGCUGUGUGAAGCAGCGUCCUGGGCUUAAAACGCAACAAGCAGGCAUAAAAUGCUCUUGUUCUGCCUUGUGUACAAGUAAGCAGUAACACAUUAUAUACAGUAAAGGCAAGAAAAAAACAGGUUUGUCAUUCUCAAGUUUGAGAAAUCUUGGGAAUGCUUCUGAAAUCAUACUUCUUGUGAAACAACUUGUUGCAAGAAGUAUAACUGAUAUGAUUGAUGGUUAUGGUGAUACUGGCUGCAAUAAAUUAACCCCCUCAGGGGUUCAUUUACCCCAGGGAAGAAAACCAGCUGGAGCCACAGCUGCACUGGCAGCAGAUGUCACAGCCAUAAUGCUCAUUGCCCUUAGGUGUAAGAUAUAUGGGAAAAAACUAUUUACAUGGAAAAGCAAAACACUAGUAUAAGGCUGGCUGAGCUCUGGAGACUGACGGCUAGUAUCCAUAGCUGAAGGUCAGGUGAAACACAGUUCAACUUUCUGGGUUUAAUAAAUGUAAUAGUAGGCUUAGCUGAUAUGCAAAUCUAUUGGUUCUGCAAAACACAAGUGAAAAUUUAAAACCAAAUCUUUAUUGCAAGACUUUGUUUUCCUAUUAUUGUGAAAGAACAUGAAUAAGCUUCUCUGAAUAUGUAAGCACUGUGAAAAUGCAUGGUACUCUAAGUCAAACAUGUCUUCAGUGCCUCAUUGUUUGCAUUCAAUUACAGUUUAUAGUAACUGGACAAAAAAAGUUAAUUGCAAAAUCAUCUUCAAAUUCUCUUCCCUGCUCCCCACAUGAAAAAGCUGCCUUUGUUUAAUCUUCAGGUUUGGUUUGCAACUUAGAAGUCACAAGGAAAACCAGAGUUUUCAGUGGGGCAUUUUGCUGAUAGGGGAAUGCAAGAAUACGCAUUGUAAUUUUUCUGGCUGGCAGUAGGCAAGUGUAAAGGUUAAUGGGAUCCAAAGGCACUCUGAAUUCUGGGAAGGCUGGUGAGAGACUCAGCUUACUGCAAUUCACAGCAGCUGUGGGAUGUGAGAGAGCUGGUAUUUUCUCAACCUGCUUUCUUGUCACUUGGGUUUUAGCUGCUUUGCAAAGGCCAAGUUCCAGUGAUUGCUGUCCUCACCUAUCCUUGGCAUUAUGUCUUACUGAUAAAACUGUUAGAAAGAAGCCAAGCUGCUGUGUUCUGCCUGCAGUUGCAUGGUCCAGGUCAGGGCUCAGAAGAGAAAUUCACUUGGCACUCAAAGGAGCAGUAUGUGGAGUUCAUUACUUGCUAUGAGUCACCCACCCAAGCUGCCACAGAGAAGAUCUUUUGUAUUUUCUGCCUGCUCCUGGCUCUUGUUGCUGUUGUGAGACAGGAAAAACAAAGCAUCCUUUGACUCUGUUUUUAUUUUAAGAUGUAUUUUCUCCUCUUCC